AUGCCAAUAUGGUUAGCCAAAUUAUCACAACUCCGCUGGCUUAACUUAGCAUCUAACAACAUUAUUGGUCCAAUCCCGGCUGCUCUUAGCAAUCUCACUAGUCUUACUCAUCUGGAUCUCUCCAACUGCAGUCUAGGAGGAGAGAUUCCACCAGAAUUAGGUCUUAUACAGGAACUCUCGUUUCUGUCUCUUACACUCAAUCAAUUGGUGGGUAAUAUUCCAGCUUCGCUCGGCAACUUAUCCAAAUUGUCUUUGCUAACUUUGCCAGCUAAUCAAUUGUUGGGACAAGUACCAAUAACAUUAGGGAAACUUGUAGCUUUGACCGUGCUUGAAUUCUCAAUAACAAUUUAG
rnacentral:rRNA from 1 species